rnacentral:rRNA from 1 species
UUCCAGACUCCUACGGGAGGCAGCAGUGGGGAAUAUUGCACAAUGGGGGAAACCCUGAUGCAGCGACGCCGCGUGAGUGAAGAAGUAAUUCGUUAUGUAAAGCUCUAUCAGCAGGGAAGAAAAUGACGGUACCUGACUAAGAAGCCCCGGCUAACUACGUGCCAGCAGCCGCGGUAAUACGUAGGGGGCAAGCGUUAUCCGGAUUUACUGGGUGUAAAGGGAGCGUAGACGGUAGAGCAAGUCUGAAGUGAAAGCCCGCGGCUCAACUGCGGGACUGCUUUGGAAACUGUUCAACUGGAGUGCUGGAGAGGUAAGCGGAAUUCCUAGUGUAGCGGUGAAAUGCGUAGAUAUUAGGAGGAACACCAGUGGCGAAGGCGGCUUACUGGACAGUAACUGACGUUGAGGCUCGAAAGCGUGGGGAGCAAACAGGAUUAGAUACCCGAGUAUU